UACGGAGGGGGCUAGCGUUGUUCGGAAUUACUGGGCGUAAAGCGCACGUAGGCGGACUGUUAAGUCGGGGGUGAAAUCCUGGGGCUCAACCUCAGAAUUGCCUCCGAUACUGGCAGUCUCGAGUGCGGGAGAGGUGAGUGGAAUCCUAGUGUAGAGGUGAAAUUCGUAGAUAUUAGGAAGAACACCGAAGUGGCGAAGGCGGCUCACGUGGUCCGGUACUGACGCUGAGGUG
rnacentral:rRNA from 1 species